GCGUAAUGGCAAAAUUAAGUCAAAUGCGUCAUGUCGGUGAUCAGCUUUAAGUACUUGUGCUAUUUUUGAGUGAAAAACUAAGAAAAAAUGUGUUAAUCACUAAGAUAUGUCUCCAGACACUGUGACAUUAUGUCAAAUGCAUCUGCUUCUGCAUAAGGUGACGUGAUUUGCAAAUGACGUCAUAAUAGCCUUACUGACGCCUGACUGUCGAAGUAAAAUUUUAAUUCGCAUUAGUUUACUUCGCAUUAGCUGUCGUGUGAACGCAAUUUAAUUCGCAUUAGUUUGAUUCACAUUAGUUUACUUCGCAUUAAUUUACUGCGAAUGUAAACUUGUCGUGUGAACAUGGCAUUAAAUAAGUUCAGUCAGAGAGAGUAGUGUGAUUUUUUUAAUUUACAUGUAAGCUGUGAUAUAAAUUUAUUAAAUAUUUUAACUAUUCAUACAGAAAUUCUAUCACCCUUUCACACAAUUUUACCUCCUUCGGAUCUAGAGACGUUACUCAAAUAGCUGCUUCUCUUAUAUUUUAAACAAAAAACAAUUCACGUGGUUUCCAUUGAAAUUAGGAAAUAUCAUCCCCAGAAACUUUCAUAAAUAUCUGGAAAUGUACUUCAAUUUCUUGUGAGGAAACCUAUUGAAUAAGCAAUUUUUAGAGAAGGUUCUCUAUUUUUAACACACAUCACCUGACCUUAGAUAAACAAACAUCCUACUCUUUUCUCUAGUUAUAGUUGAAUUCAUUGGCUACAAUAUAAUAAAAUGUGGUGUCUUAAAUUCUGUUUAAGCAAGAAUGCCAUUUCUAUUUGUUUUAUUUCAUUUUGUCAAGCUUCAGUGAUGAAUUGUUUCAAGAGAGAUAACUCUGGUUUCAAGUCCUCUUUAUUAUUAACUGUUGCAGUUCUUUUUCUUUAGAAUGAUAACUUUUUUAUGAGGGUAAUGUCUGAACUUGAUACACUCUCUCACAAACACACACACUUGUUAAGAUUUUGUUCUAGAGCAGGACCUAUAUCUUACUAUUAGAGGACUUUUAAAAAGGCAUGUCGAUGUCUCUCUAUUUUCAUAUUAUUUUCCGUAUUAAUCUGUAAGCCCUCCUAAAUUCAGAAAGAACAAAUUGUAAACAGAUCCUUCCAAAUUAACUCUGCAUAAUCUUUUGGGGCUAAAUUACUGAAGUAUCAGUUGAGCAGAAUAUGUACUUUUUUGAUUCUGCUGAAACAAGUAUAUAAUUUAUAUACACACAGUAUUUUGAGGGCUUUCAUUAUUAUAAGACUUUAGUGCACAAUUGAAUAAUUAUUCAAACCAUGCAUAAAGUGUUAAUUCUUGUUUUAUAUUAGACAUAAUCAUUUUUUUUUUCAAUAAUCUUAAUUAAAAAUACUUGAAGUG